UGGAUAGACUUCCCAAAGAAGGUGAUGCCGAAGCUGAGGUCGGAAAUUACGAAGAUCAGCUAUGCCUUUUAAAGGACCAUGGGCUGUUUGAGGGGCCAACAUCAUUAACUGCAAACUUGGAAAUCAUGUCUUAGAGAUCAAGGAGCCAAGAGAUGAGACAAGCCUGGGUUCCUAGGUGAUAGGGUGUGGCUGUGUCCCCACCCAAAUCUCGUCUUGAAUUGUAGCUCCCAUAAUCCCCACAUGUUGUGGAGGGACCCUGUGGAAGAUUGUGCCUGCAGCCUGGCCUGUUGCCCACAGCGGUCUACCUGCCACACUGGGAAAGAUCGAGCAGAGACAGAGAAGAAAAGGAGGCUCCAUUUUUCAGGCUGCUCUCCCGCAGGCUCAUGUUUUGUGUUCAUGCCAGGCAGAGAACACAAAAUGUUCCAAUAAAUAAGUAUCAAAGAACUACCUCAGGAACAUACCAGGAAAGCUGAGAGAAUCCAAAGACCCUUUGAAGGACCUGGAUCACUGCUGCAGGCUCCUUGAGAUGCCGAAAAACUGUGAGUCGGCUUGCUUUCUCAAUGGGGAGGCUCAUGGUCUGGGGCAAGUUCUCAAUUCUGGUCACCAGCUGCCUGGAAAUAGACUUGGUGCCAUUAGUGGGGUGCGGUGGAAGUGAGAUUGGCCUUUAGGACUGUGGUAUAUGUGGGAACAGGUUGAGGCCUGUGACUGCCAGCUUUCCCCCACUUCCCUGGUGACCUGUAUGACUCAGCAGAGGCUGCCAUAAUCCCCCUGGGAAUAUAAGUCCAUUGGGCUGGGAACCAUCCCCCCAUCUUCCACAGCAGCAGCAGCAGCAAGCCCUGCCCAAGGAGAGGCUGAGCUCAGACAUGCCUAUCCCUGCCCCCACCCGGUGGUCUUUCUCUACCCGCCUGGUAAACAAACACAAAGGUCAUAUCUCCUGGGAGUUCUAUAGCCCUACCCACCACCUUAGAAACCUGAAUUCCUAGCCAGGUGUCCCUCAAGCAAGUGUAUAUCUUUCCUAUAGGACUGCAGUUUAUGUGCUCUUGAAAGUGCCACCUCCAGACUAGAGGCCAACCAACACAAAACCAGCACACUAAACACAAACACAACCAAAGACCUUCAAAGAGUCCACUUCAUUCCCCUGCUACCACCACUAGAGCAGGUGCUGGUCUCCAUGGCUGCAAGACCUGAAGACAUCACAUCACAGGACAAUUUGCAGGCAUCUCCCUAGCACCAGCCUAGAGCCCAGUAGCUCCGCUAGGUGGCUAGAUCCAGAAGAGCAAAAACAAUCACUACAGUUAAGCUCUCAGGAAGCCCCAUUCAGGAGAACACCAUAUCAAGGGAGCACUCCAUGGGACAAAAGAAUCUGAAGAGCAGUGCUUGAAUUCCAGAUCUUCCCUCUGACAUAGUCUACCCAAAUGAGAAGGAACCAGAAAAAUAAUUCUGGUUAUAUGACAAAACAAGGUUCUUUUACACCCCCAAAAGAUCAUACCAGCUCACCAGCAAUGGAUCCAAACCAAGACAAAAUCUCUGAAUUGCCAGAAAAAGAAUUCCAAAGGUCAAUUAUAAAGCUAAUGAAGGAGGCUCCAGAGAAAGGUGAAGUACAACUUAAAGAAAUAAAAAA
ensembl:lncRNA CCDC26 CCDC26 long non-coding RNA